CAAAACCCUAGCGAGCUCAGCAGCUCAAAUUCUAAGCAUAAAUACAGCUCCAUGUCUCUUCAAUUCAGAUAUCUCCAGCUGCUCUCCUCAUCGCCGCGCUCCGCCUCUCUCCUCCGCCAUCUGCCAAAUCCGACGGAAGGAUUGUUUGGGCAGAGACGAUGGUCUAUCUGCAGCUGUGUUGAUAGUUUGGUUGUAGCGUUGGUUUAGUGUUGGCUUUUUAACUUUCUUUAUGUUGUAUAUUUACAUAUAAAUAUGGAUACUAUAUGUAAAUUAGCUGUGAAGUUCGAUAAUGAAAAUUGGUUUACUUUUCCCCUUUAAA